UACAGAGGUCCCAAGCGUUGUUCGGAUUCAUUGGGCGUAAAGGGUGCGUAGGCGGCGCGGUAAGUCGGGUGUGAAAUCUCGGGGCUUAACUCCGAAACUGCAUUCGAUACUGCCGUGCUUGAGGACCGGAGAGGAGACUGGAAUUUACGGUGUAGCGGUGAAAUGCGUAGAUAUCGUAAGGAAGACCAGUGGCGAAGGCGGGUCUCUGGACAGUUCCUGACGCUGAGGCACGAAGGCCAGGGGAGCAAACGGG
rnacentral:rRNA from 1 species